GGGUCCUUCUGGUUCUGGAAAAUCUACGCUUCUCGAUACGUUAGCAGGUAGGCUUUCGACUAAUGUCGUAAUGACUGGAAAUAUUCUUCUUAACGGGAAGAAGAGGAGGUUGGACUAUGGUGUUGUUGCUUAUGUUACUCAAGAGGAUACACUGUUGGGAACUCUAACACCUAGAGAAACAAUAACUUAUUCAGCACAUCUUCGACUUCCAACUAGGAUGACGAAAGAAGAGGUAGACGAUAUUGUGGAGGGAACAAUAAUGGAAAUGGGGCUCGGAGAUUGUGCUGAUCGGCUGGUAGGAAAUUGGCAACUAAGAGGAAUAAGUGGUGGGGAGAAAAAGAGAUUAAGCAUUGCACUUGAAAUACUUGUACGACCUCGUAUACUUUUUCUUGAUGAACCUACAACUGGUCUUGACAGUGCCUCAGCAUUCUUUGUUGUUCAAGCUCUUAAGAAUAUUUCUCGCGAUGGAAGAACAGUUAUCUCGUCAAUUCAUCAGCCUAGUAGUGAAGUUUUCGCCUUGUUUGAUGACCUCUUUCUGUUGUCUGGUGGAGAGGCUGUAUAUUUUGGAGAAGCAAAAUUGGCAGUACAGUUCUUUGCUGAAUCGGGAUUUCCAUGUCCAAGUAGGAGAAAUCCAUCUGAUCAUUUCCUACGUUGUGUUAAUUCAGACUUUGACGUUGUUACAGCCACACUGAAAGGCUCACAAAGACUCCGGGAAACGCAUAAAAGUGACUACUUAAUGAACAUGGCAACAGCAGAAAUAAAAGAAAUGCUUGCCAGCAAAUAUAAGCAUUCACCAUACGCAACGAGGGCCAGGUCACGGAUGCGAGAACUCUUAGCCACUCAAGGUGUUGAGAUUGAGAUAGUAAAAGGAAGUCAAGCUGGUUGGGGAAAACAACUUUUGACAUUGACGCGGAGAUCAUUUGUAAACAUGUCAAGAGACAAGGGAUAUUAUUGGUCUCGUAUAGUAAUUUAUAUUAUUGUAGCAUUUGCCGUUGGUACCCUCUUCUAUGAUGUUGGCACCAGUUACACAGCAAUCUUGGCUCGG
rnacentral:misc_RNA from 1 species